rnacentral:rRNA from 1 species
CAUUACCGAGUUUACAACUCCCAAACCCCUGUGAACAUACCUUAAUGUUGCCUCGGCGGAUCAGCCCGCGCCCCGUAAAACGGGACGGCCCGCCAGAGGACCCAAACUCUAAUGUUUCUUAUUGUAACUUCUGAGUAAAACAAACAAAUAAAUCAAAACUUUCAACAACGGAUCUCUUGGUUCUGGCAUCGAUGAAGAACGCAGCAAAAUGCGAUAAGUAAUGUGAAUUGCAGAAUUCAGUGAAUCAUCGAAUCUUUGAACGCACAUUGCGCCCGCUGGUAUUCCGGCGGGCAUGCCUGUUCGAGCGUCAUUUCAACCCUCAAGCCCCCGGGUUUGGUGUUGGGGAUCGGCUCUGCCUUCUGGCGGUGCCGCCCCCGAAAUACAUUGGCGGUCUCGCUGCAGCCUCCAUUGCGUAGUAGCUAACACCUCGCAACUGGAACGCGGCGCGGCCAUGCCGUAAAACCCCAACUUCUGAAUGUUGAC